rnacentral:rRNA from 1 species
GACGAACGCUGGCGGCGUGCCUAAUACAUGCAAGUAGAACGCACAGUUUAUACCGUAGCUUGCUACACCAUAAACUGUGAGUUGCGAACGGGUGAGUAACGCGUAGGUAACCUGCCUGGUAGCGGGGGAUAACUAUUGGAAACGAUAGCUAAUACCGCAUAAUAUUGAUUAUUGCAUGAUAAUUGAUUGAAAGAUGCUAUUGCAUCACUACUAGAUGGAUCUGCGGUGUAUUAGCUAGUAGGUGAGGUAACGGCUCACCUAGGCGACGAUACAUAGCCGACCUGAGAGGGUGAUCGGCCACACUGGGACUGAGACACGGCCCAGACUCCUACGGGAGGCAGCAGUAGGGAAUCUUCGGCAAUGGACGAAAGUCUGACCGAGCAACGCCGCGUGAGUGAAGAAGGUUUUCGGAUCGUAAAGCUCUGUUGUAAGAGAAGAACGGGUGUGAGAGUGGAAAGUUCACACUGUGGCGGUAUCUUACCAGAAAGGGACGGCUAACUACGUG